GCGCAAGAUUUUUCCCUAACGGGGAGAAAAGGCAAACUUCCGUUUAACGCUUUGCAGCUCCUCCAGGUCAUUACUGAGACAUUGCAAAAAGCAUUUGCAACAGCAACAGAGGUAGCCAUACACAAUGGCAUCGCAGACUGGCUACGGUAUGCUCCUUCACGGCAGAAAAAACGAGAGGCAGUGCCAGCCUGUAUUCGACCUGCGGCUCUCUGACUGUUCGUCUUGUCGCCUCGUUUACAUUGCAGCAGCAUGUACAGUGCGCACACUACUACAAAUGUGCACCAGAAAGGACUUACUGCACCGUGAUCUCAAACCCCGUUCUGUUUCAAUUCUUUCAACUUUCAGUUCUAUCUACUGUUUUUUUGUAGAGUUAAGAUAGCUUCCAAAGUGCAACUUGCACUGGUGUUUGUUUGUUCCAUGUAAUUAUAAUACCUCAGUGUUGUAUCAAGCGUGCCGUUACAGAAUUGAUGUUAAGACACUUGAUGCUUUAUAGUUGCAGGUGCCAAUCCCGCAGGACUAUUGCUUAAUUUCUCCUGGGCCACUUUUUGUUUGGGGUAUUUCAAAAGGGAAGGUUGUUCUUUGGUUUAUUCACACUAUUUUGUAAUACUACAGCAUCUAGUCAAGACUGCCUUUGCAGCUUUGUUAGUUUUAAGAACAUUUGAUGAAUGGCCACAUAGUUAUAAGUACCAGCCUUGCAACAUUAUUUCUUAAAUUCUCAUCUGUCACAUUUUGACUUUUUAGGUUACUUUAAAAGGGGUAAAGCUGCACUCACAUUUUGUCAUACUAUUUUGUAAUAUUACCUUAUCUAGUCAAGCGUGCCUUCACAGCUUUAUUGAUACCAAAGUGAUGUUGAUAUCGGGUCACAUUGUUACGGGUGCCAGCCUUGCAAGAUUAUUUCUUACUUUCUCCUGCAUCGCAUUUUGCCUUUCUCGGUUACCUCAAAAGGGGCAAGCUGCACUUAUGUUUGUUCAUGCUAUUUUGCAAUAUUGCAGUGUCUAGUCAAGCAUGCCUUCACAGGUCUGUUCAUGUUAAAAAUUUGAUAAGUGACCACACAGUUAUCGGUACUAUUCCUCCAGGAUUAUUUCUUACUUUCUCCUGUGUCACAUUUUGUCUGUCUGGGCUAUCUUUAAAAGGGCAACUUGCACCUAUGUUUGUUCAUGCCAUGUUGUAGUACUACAGUAUCUAGUCAAGCCUGCUUUCACAGCUUUGUCGAUGUUAAAACUAUAAGGGGCCACAUAAUUAUGGGUACCAGUGCUGCAGGACUGAUGCUUAGUUUCUCCUGUGCCACAUUUUCUUUAAGAGAUUUCAAAAAGGAAAGUGCAGUUGCUCUUAGGUUUGUUCACUUUUUUUUGUAAUAUUACAGUAUCUAGUCAAGCCUGACUUUGCAGCUUUGUUAAUGUUAAGAACACUUCAUAGGUGGCCACGCAGGUACCAGACUUGCAAGAUUAUUGCUCACUUAUUCCUGUGUCACAUUUUGUCUUGUCAGAACUGCUAGAAUGUCUUGAAGAGGCGUAGUUUGUAAUGUUACUGUACGCAGUAUUUUAUUUUUCUUAAUAUUGCUAGUUUCCCUGUAAGACCAGCAUUGGUGCCAAUAUUCUGGUUUUUUAUUCUGUUUGUUUACCUUCAGUUGUACAAGGUGUCAAUUGCAAGAAUUUAGGGUCAUUUAUUCAUCGACAUUGGUGGCCAUUUUUAUUGCAGUAGUCGCACAGCUAGCCGCAAUAGGCCCCUCAUCAAAGAUUGUGAUCAGCAUUGAUGAAAGGAAAUGUUUCUGCUGUAUUGCUAUUCUGGACAGGUACAUUUGUUUUGAAGAAUAUGUAAGCAUAUAUUUUCUUAGAAAAAAUUGUGUUAAUUUGAUUGUGGAAAAUUCAAACCAAGCUUAUGCGUCUUUUCUGUGUAAUAAAUCUUU
rnacentral:lncRNA from 1 species